rnacentral:rRNA from 1 species
AUUGAACGCUGGCGGCAUGCUUUACACAUGCAAGUCGAACGGCAGCACGGGCUUCGGCCUGGUGGCGAGUGGCGAACGGGUGAGUAAUAUAUCGGAACGUACCCAGAAGUGGGGGAUAACGUAGCGAAAGUUACGCUAAUACCGCAUACGAUCUAUGGAUGAAAGCAGGGGACCGCAAGGCCUUGUGCUCCUGGAGCGCCCGAUAUCUGAUUAGCUAGUUGGUGAGGUAAAGGCUCACCAAGGCGACGAUCAGUAGCUGGUCUGAGAGGACGACCAGCCACACUGGAACUGAGACACGGUCCAGACUCCUACGGGAGGCAGCAGUGGGGAAUUUUGGACAAUGGGCGCAAGCCUGAUCCAGCAAUGCCGCGUGAGUGAAGAAGGCCUUCGGGUUGUAAAGCUCUUUUGUCAGGGAAGAAACGGUAGAGGCUAAUAUCCUUUGCUAAUGACGGUACCUGAAGAAUAAGCACCGGCUAACUACGUG